ensembl:lncRNA
GGUGGGGUGGGGUGCGAGCCGUAGUCGGGGGAGGAAAGCCGGGAGGCUGUGGUUGGGGUGGGGGAGAGCGCGGUGUCGCGGUGAGGGGAAGGCAGAGAGCAAAAUGGUGGUGCUGGGAACCUAGGGGGGAGGGGAGAAAGGAGGCUCAGUUGUGUAUAUUUGGGCCUCGGACCGAGGGAGGCGAGGGAAAAUCUACUCUGAUCACACCCCUCCCUCGUGCCCCCUCCCUUCUCCCUUCCCCUCCUUCCUUCCCUCCCUCCCCCCUCCCUCCCUCUCUUCCUCCCUUCCUAGAGAGGGAACAACAUUCAUGUGACGGGCCCCUCUGCUUCUCCCCCGCCCCAUCAUCUCCAGCGCGUGGUGGGGGAACUGCUGGGGAAGGCGAUUGGCAUCGAUCUCUCCAUCCCUUCCGAGGCCCGACUUCGGCACGAACUGAGCUGAUCCUUGCCCCAGGUAGGCAGCCUGUGCGUUUUCACUCCACACUUUUAUUCUUGCUCGGGGUCGACUUUCUUUUUUCUUCUCCCCUGGAUCCGGAGAUCUGCGGACGGCGAUUUGGGGACGAAAAGGGUCGGAUGGGCCGUGGGAGAGAGAAGGUGUGGGAAACAGCAUCAAGUAGUUCCGCAAAACUUUGAGCCCCGUUCCCAUUUUCUUUUGGCCUAGAAUUGUGAACGUAUUGUUGAUUUCGGCCUUUUUUCCCCCCGUCGCGAGAAUGUCUUGUUUUGCCUUUAGUUUUUUAUAAACCGCUGUACUUUCGACAUUUAGUUUCCGCUCCCCCUUGGUGCAUAUGUCAUUUUAUUUUUAAUCCUUAACUGUAAUGGGUUAUCGUGUGAUUUUCGUGCUUCAGUGCUCGGCUUUAAUUUUUAAUAUUGCAUUAGUAGUUUCAUCCGGUUUGUGAGACUUUCUCUUCCGUGGCCUAGAAUGUUUUUUAUGUUGUUGCUUAUCACCCCUCUUCUCUCUCCCUCCUUCUUUCUCUUGGAUGUAGUUUUUAAAUUGAGGGCCAUGGUGUUGGAUUAAAUGUUAAUUUACAGUUUACAUGAUAUAUCUAUUGGAAACUUUUGAUCUGUAAGGUUGGAUUUAAGUAAACGAGACGCUUGUGUUGGUUUGCAAUGGUUCCUUAAAAUGCGCGGGCCACCCCCUUCUCCCACCGUAAAGCCCCAUCUUCCCUUCACACUGGAGUGUAAAUUCCAUACCCCUUUUCUCCCACGGACCGCCGUAUUUCACAGCAGCCACACCCUGUAUUUGUCUCUGUGGAUUGGACUCAUUAUCAGCUUAAUUUAGUGACUCUUAAACCACCAUGAUGGGACUUGCUUAAGCACGAAGCUUCUUUUCCUGUUUAGUCCUAGUGGUUAGUGUCGAAAGAGGAAUAAUCGAGGUUUCUUGAUGAAACCUAGUGCAGUCCAACCUCUGCCUUUUUUCUGUUGUCUUUUUUCCUACUCCGGGCUGUUGGCGGUGUCAGCACCGCUGCUGGGGGCGGGGGUGGAGGGGAGAAAGAGUCGGGUUACCGAAGUGCGUCAUUCCUGGCUCUAGCAGGGCCUGCUCGGGAGCUGCUGGUGUUUGUUACUGUCCUCGCAGCACUUUUCUGCCAACCUUCUCUCUCUGCGUAUUGGUUAGGAGCAAAAGCAGGAGGCGGUCUCCUAAUUCUGUCUGUAGCCUAGCGCGUUACGUUUAAGGGUAUAUGUGAACUUAUUUUGUUAAAAAAAGGCCCUGGGAAGUGGAUGCAUUUGUUUAAUGACAUAUAAUUCAGGUAGUUUAGGCUUGCUCUCAUAUACUUUACGAUGAACAGUGGGGUUAAUUUUCAACAUUUUCAACCACUUAACGUUAAAAUGCCUGGUUUUCUUUCUACAUUGAUAUCAAUCUAUAAUUAGGGAUCAGAAGGACCAGUUUAAGGUAUAUAAGUGUUCAGCAGUUUUUCAAGUGGUUGAAUUGCAGUUUUGUGGCACAUCAUGUUAAAUAGUCGAUUUUUUUCGUUUUGAACUAAAGUGCCACGUUAAGUAAGUUAAUUGCAAAUGUUUAAGUUCGUUUUCAUCACAUUUUCCUAUUUGUCUUUUUAGGUAUAAUUUUAAAUAUGCCCUUUGGGUUUUAUGGACUUCGUUAAAAUUCUUAAAGAUGGUUAUAUCUUUGUGUUUAACUGAGUUCUUAAAUUUAUCACCUACCAAGGAAUUGUGUAAGGCGGCUGUAUAGUUACAUUGUUGGAUUUUGACUUCUUAACUUGCUAGUUUUUGAUACUUUUGCUAUCUCUGGGUAGAAGUGUACUUGGAGAACAUAGCAUCUUCCUCUUAAUUAUUUUUGAAGAUAAUAAUGAGAGGAGGGAGUGGGUAGGAGGUAGGUGUGAAACAGAGGUGGCCUUGAGUUGAUUAUUGUAGCUGGAUGAAUACAGAAGCGCUCAUUGUUACUAUCAUUCUCUCUACUUUUGUGUGUGCUGUUAAAAAUUUCCAUAGUUUAAGAGAAUUUUUUUUUUUUCAGAAUAAUUUCCACAUUGUCUUACAGUCUUGGGGGUAAUGACUUAAGUUUAUAUUUACAUGUCAAAAUUAGUUGCAUGGGAAGUUUAGCCUUGUGUAAGUGAUUACACAAUACUUGGCAAAACUUUCAAAAAAAAAAAACGUUUAAACAGGAACUAGUAUAAAACAGGCAACAUAAAUAAAGUUCAACAAAUUGGUUUAACUUUAAAUGUU